rnacentral:rRNA from 1 species
AAUGAACGCUGGCGGCAGGCUUAACACAUGCAAGUCGAACGCACCUUUCGGGGUGAGUGGCAGACGGGUGAGUAACGCGUGGGAAUCUACCCUUCUCUACGGGAUAGCUCCGGGAAACUGGAAUUAAUACCGUAUACGUCCUGAGGGAGAAAGAUUUAUCGGGGAAGGAUGAGCCCGCGUUGGAUUAGCUAGUUGGUGGGGUAAAGGCCUACCAAGGCGACGAUCCAUAGCUGGUCUAAGAGGAUGAUCAGCCACAUUGGGACUGAGACACGGCCCAAACUCCUACGGGAAGCAGCAGUGGGGAAUAUUGGACAGUGGGCGCAAGCCUGAUCCAGCCAUGCCGCGUGAGUGAUGAAGGCCCUAGGGUUGUAAAGCUCUUUCAGUGGGGACGAUAAUGACGGUACCCACAGAAGAAGCCCCGGCUAACUUCGUG